rnacentral:rRNA from 1 species
CCACGCCGUAAACGAUGGAUGCUAGGUGUGGGCGGUGUCGACUCCGUCCGUGCCGAAGCUAACGCAUUAAGCAUCCCGCCUGGGGAGUACGGCCGCAAGGCUAAAACUCAAAGGAAUUGACGGGGGCCCGCACAAGCAGCGGAGCAUGUUGUUUAAUUCGACGCGACGCGAAGAACCUUACCUAGGCUUGACAUGCACAGGAAUGUCGUAGAAAUACGGCAGCCCUUCGGGGCCUGUGCACAGGUGGUGCAUGGCUGU